UUUUAAGAGUCAAGGUCUUCCAGUCUCCAAAAGCCUCAUUCUUUCCCUUGGUUUAUGAUAUUCAAUUUGGCUCCUGCUGUAAUGUACACUGAAACCUCAGGCUGCUGAGCUAUCUUGAUGGUUUUAAGAAGACAAUCUGGUGCCUUUACCUGCUAGAGAAGUCACCUAGAAUCCUGUUGUUUAAGAACUACUUAACAAUAUACAUACUGAUCCAUUGUGGAAUUAUUAAGGAAAAUACAUUGAAAUAGGUGGCAUUCUUGUCAAAGAUAUAUAUGGACGGCUAGAUGGAUAGAUAGGUGAAAAUCAUGUUCCAUGGAAGAAGAGUUAGCUCAGCCUGCAACUCAAACAAGUACAGAUAUUCUUCCAUGGAAUGACCAUCAUACUUGGAUUGUAAUAAAAAUGCUUUAGGCAAACUUCUCAUUUCAUCCUUGGCAUAUUAAAAAUAUGUAUGUAUGUUUAAGGCUUGAAACUUAACACUGUAUUUUAAUGUUUCAGUAAGGUAAUUCUUCUUAAAUAAAAUUGGCAUUUUUAAAAAAGCCCUCUCUCACCACUCCUAUUCAACAUAGUGUUGGAAGUUCUGGCCAGGGCAAUUAGG
rnacentral:lncRNA from 1 species